rnacentral:rRNA from 1 species
UACGGAGGGUGCAAACGUUGCUCGGAAUUAUUGGGCGUAAAGCGCACGUAGGCGGCCGACUAAGUCGGGUGUGAAAGCCCUGGGCUCAACCCAGGAAGUGCACUCGAAACUGAUCGGCUUGAGUAUGGAAGAGGGUCGCGGAAUUCCCGGUGUAGAGGUGAAAUUCGUAGAUAUCGGGGGGAACACCAGUGGCGAAGGCGGCGACCUGGGCCAAUAUUGACGCUGAGGUGCGAAAGCGUGGGGAGCAAACAGG